rnacentral:ribozyme from 1 species
AGUAUCCAUUUUGGCUAAAGCUCCCCUUCAACCUUCCCGCCCCUUCUGCUGCAGACAUGCCGGCGGCGCCCGCCGAACCGUUCGAGGGCCGGAUCCCCGGCU